UACGAGGGGUGCAAGCGUUGUUCGGAAUCACUGGGCGUAAAGGGCGUGUAGGCGGUCUUAUAAGUCGGUUGUGAAAUUCCUGUGCUUAACAUAGGGCCUGCAACCGAAACUGUAAGACUUGAGUCUUGAAGGGGAGAGCGGAAUUCUGCAUGUAGAGGUGAAAUUCGUAGAUAUGCGGAGGAACACCAGUGGCGAAGGCGGCUCUCUGGGCAAUGACUGACGCUGAGGCGCGAAAGCGUGGGGAUCAAACAGG
rnacentral:rRNA from 1 species